GAUGAAGAACGUAGUGAAAUGCGAUAAGUAAUGUGAAUUGCAGAAUUCAGUGAAUCAUCGAAUCUUUGAACGCACAUUGCGCCCGCCAGUAUUCUGGCGGGCAUGCCUGUUCGAGCGUCAUUUCAACCCUCAGGCCCCCAGUGCCUGGUGUUGGGGAUCGGCCCAGCCUUCCUGUAAGGCCGCCGGCCCCGAAAUCUAGUGGCGGUCUCGCUGUAGUCCUCCUCUGCGUAGUAGCACAACCUCGCAGUUGGAACGCGGCGGUGGCCAUGCCGUUAAACACCCCACUUCUGAAAGUUGACCUCGGAUCAGGUAGGAAUACACGCUGAACUUAAGCAUAUCAAUAAGCGGAGGA
rnacentral:misc_RNA from 1 species